UACGGGAGGCAGCAGUAGGGAAUCUUCCGCAAUGGACGAAAGUCUGACGGAGCAACGCCGCGUGAGUGAAGAAGGUUUUCGGAUCGUAAAACUCUGUUGUUAAAGAAGAACAAGGAUGAGAGUAACUGCUCAUCCCCUGACGGUAUUUAACCAGAAAGCCACGGCUAACUACGUGCCAGCAGCCGCGGUAAU
rnacentral:rRNA from 2 species